rnacentral:tRNA from 1 species
AAUGGUAUAGUUCAGUGGCAGAAUAGGUGACUUCUAAUCACAAGACGAGGGUUCGAUUCCUUCUACCUCUA